AAACGUUAUCUAAUAGUUAUUGGGUCUUAUUAAUUAUUGGGCCUUAGAGAGUUAUUCAAAAUUGGGCUCAUUUGAAUUGGGCAUUCUUAUUGUUGGGUACAGUAGCCUUGAAGAAGAAAGGCUAGGUUUCUUCGUGCUUCAGCUCAGCGCCCCCAAGGAUAAUCGCUGGUGCUUCGUGCUCAACUCCUCCGACGACAUGAAUUUCGAGUGUCUAGGUCUCCUCCGGUGAACGGCGAUCCAAGGUAUUUACUGUAAACUUUUUUUCAGUAUGUGUGAAAUUAUUUCAGUAUUUACGGUAAGCUUUCUCACCCAUUCUUCUAUUUCCGUUGAUUGUACUCUGCCGCGGUUCAUUUCCGAUCAUCUACUCCGGUUGAAAAUGGCUUCCGCCCAAUCAUCUCUCUGGCAAAGCAUCUGAAGACCACUCCACUGGAAUCACCGCUCACUUCUCCUUCUCAAUUUACUCUACCUCUCUGAUCACUAAAGCCCUCCUCCCAAGGUAAAAACUGGAAAGAGCAGUUUGGAACAGAUAUCUAAAGUUUAUGGAAAUCAAGCUGUGGUUGUAAGCAUUGAUCCCCGUAGAGUCUACAUCAAUGAUCCCAAUGAUGUGGAGUUUAAGACUGUAAGGGUCACAAAUAGAGCUUGAUCAUUCUCUGUUCGUGGAAAUCGAUCGGUGGGGCAAUCGAUUCAUUCACGGAGACUUUUGGCAGGUGGUUUAAGUGUAUAAUCGUGGUGGUA